ensembl:snRNA RNU6-804P RNA, U6 small nuclear 804, pseudogene
GUGCUCACUUUGACAGCACAUAUACUAAAAUUAGAAUGAUACAGAGAAGAUUAGCAUGGCACCUGUGCAAUGAUGACACGCAAGUUUGUGAAGCAUACAAUAUUUUU